GGAUUGUGGCUCAGCGGUAGAGUGCUCGCCUAGCAUGUACUAAGGCCCUGGGUUCGAUCCUCAGCACCA
rnacentral:tRNA from 1 species